rnacentral:rRNA from 1 species
UACGAAGGGGGCUAGCGUUGCUCGGAAUUACUGGGCGUAAAGCGCACGUAGGCGGCUCUUUUAAGUCGGGGGGUGAAAUCCUGGAGCUCAACUCUGAAACUGCACUCGAUACUGCUCUGCUUGAGGACUGGAGAGGAGACUGGAAUUCACGGUGUAGCAGUGAAAUGCGUAGAUAUCGUGAGGAAGACCAGUGGCGAAGGCGGGUCUCUGGACAGUUUCCUGACGCU